CAGUAGCCACGGUAAUACGGAGGGUGCAAGCGUUAUCCGGAUUUAUUGGGUUUAAAGGGUCCGUAGGCGGAUCUGUAAGUCAGUGGUGAAAUCUCACAGCUUAACUGUGAAACUGCCAUUGAUACUGCAGGUCUUGAGUAAAUUUGAAGUGGCUGGAAUAAGUAGUGUAGCGGUGAAAUGCAUAGAUAUUACUUAGAACACCAAUUGCGAAGGCAGGUCACUAAGAUUUAACUGACGCUGAUGGACGAAAGCGUGGGGAGCGAACAGGAUUAGAUACCCCUGUAGUACCUGUCUCUUAUAC
rnacentral:rRNA from 1 species